GUACCCGCGAGGGUGGGUCCGAAAGAAGCGCGGAGCAAAGGCGCGAGCCGACGAAUAGAAACCUGAUACGAGGCAUACCGAGUCGGGCGAGCGGGCAUAUCACCGGCAAGCCCAUAUUCAUCAAGGGCUCGGGUUGUAAAUCCAGCGGUUGUGCGCCGAAGGCGGGUGAGC
rfam:Candidatus Riflebacteria bacterium RBG_13_59_9 RBG_13_scaffold_10310, whole genome shotgun sequence.